rnacentral:misc_RNA from 1 species
UUGGUGAAUAUAUCAUACCUUAAUUAAUAGUAAUUACAUUUUAGUAUUUCUGAUAAAAAAUAUUUUUUUAUUUUUUGUUUCAAAAAUUAGCUGUCUAUACUGUACAAUAUAAAUAAUAAUACCCGGCGAACUUCGCAACACCAGCUUUUUCGUGAAUAUCUCCAUAUUCUUUUUUCAAACCUUGUUCAGACAAUAACAACAACAAAAGUUAUUUUUGCUGCAGUCGCUCGGAAGUUAUGCGCGUACAUAGAUUUUAGUGAUUCAUUUUUAUUUAUAUAGAGAGGUGUUAGGUUAAGUGUCGGAAUAUAAUUAAUUGAUUGACGAUUUAAGCAACUUAGGGACCUUGACACAAAUGUCAGGCUGGUUUUCAUUUGGCUCCUCUGGUCUUCGGGCUGGCUGGCUUCCAAGUCCAUAUCGACCGCUGUGCCGUAUACAGCAGAUAUUAUCUCGACGUAAUUAGACACAGGAAUGAACAGUGAACUUGUGUAUAAUUUGUAUUGUAUAAUAUUAAUUUUGUAGCGAGUAAAACGUUAGUGGUAAAUCGUUUUUGAUAACAUAUCUGUUUUUACAAGACACGACACGAUUACGAUGAUCAUUACGACCGAGGAAUUGAUAACGUCCAAUAAAUUUCGUGAAAUGUUUACCUUCCUUUCACAUCGUUCCAUCCUUGUCAGAUAAGAGGUCUGAAAAUUAUCUUUAUCUACCAAUAUGUGAGGUCCAUGUGAACUAUCGGACGUUAGUUUCUGUAUGACUUUGUAUGAUUUUUAGACUUCUACAUAUCAUGUCGCCUACGUUGAAUGUAUAGGUAAAAUAUGCAAAUAUACAUUUACGAACUAAUCUGAAUCAGCGUGUAAACAUCCUAAUUUAGGGCGAAGAAGCCUUACUUACUACAUAUAAUAAAUCGGCCAAGUGCAAGUUGGACUCGCGCACGAAGUGUUCCGUGCCGUUGACUAGAUAAACAACAGUACCAUUCAUUGAUAUCGAGCAAAAAUAGGUAUUUUUUUUUACAGGAGCCCCCCUUAAAUAUUCAUUUUUUUUUUUAAUUUUAUUAUUGAUUAUUAAAGUAAAAAGUACAACAGUAUUUUGUAAAUAUUUCGAGUCCCUACCUGUUACCAUUAUUAAUAUCAAGCAAAAAAGAGCAAAAAAAUCGCGUUUGUUGUAUUCCUGUUAAAUAUUUAUUUUGUUUUGGUUUUAUUAUUUUUUGUAAUAGUGGCAACAGAAACACAUUAUUUGUGAAAAUUUCAACUGUCUAGCUAUUGCCGUUCUGAAAUACAGCCUGGUGACAGACAGGACGGACGGACGCACGGACGGACGGAUGGACGAACAGACAGCGAAGUCUCAGUAAUAGGGUUCCGUUUUUACGCUUUUGGGUACGGAUCCCUAAAAAUGAAUAGUUUCUAGAUAGGACAUCUGAAUCAACCAAGCC